rnacentral:rRNA from 1 species
UACGUAGGGGCCUAGCGUUGUCCGGAAUUAUUGGGCGUAAAGAGCUCGUAGGCGGUUUGUCGCGUCUGCUGUGAAAACUCGGGGCUUAACUCCGGGCCUGCAGUGGGUACGGGCAGACUAGAGUGCGGUAGGGGAGACUGGAAUUCCUGGUGUAGCGGUGGAAUGCGCAGAUAUCAGGAGGAACACCGAUGGCGAAGGCAGAUCUCUGGGCCGUAACUGACGCUGAGGAGCGAAAGCGUGGGGAGCGAACAGG